CCUGGUGGGUAUAGCUGUGAGGACACACCCGUUCUCAUUCCGAAUACGGCAGUUAAGUUCACAGCGCCGAAAAUACUUGGCUGGAGACGGCCUGGAAAAAUAGGUACUGCCAGGU
rnacentral:rRNA from 1 species